AUAGUGAGAAGUUUUGGGUUAAAUUGUUUCUUAGUUGAGAAGAUCCUGGGAUGGAGUGUGAGCCCGUGUCAGAGAAAAGGAUUAGGUACCCUUAUAUUCGUGUGGAACAAUUUUGUGUCCUUGAUAGUUAAUUUAAAAGAAUUUGGCAGCUGGUGGUUUCUUCCGGGGGAGUGUGCUCAUUAAAAAGAUGGUCCGCUUAUUAUUUUACCACUUUUUAGGGUUAGUGUACAUCCGGUUUGAUAUUUUUAAUUAGAGUUUGGGGUUAAAUAUAUAAUUAAAGCCGGGUCAAUAUGCUGCUA
rnacentral:rRNA from 1 species